UACAUUUUUGCGUGUGCAUGCAUGCCUGUGCCUCGUGUGUGUGUGUGUGUGUGUGUGUGUGUCUGGGCGCUGAUCAAAGAGUCACUCACUCACUGCGGAAACGGAGGCGCAUUAAAAAGGCCAAACACGUUCACAGCACACAACAAUAAGAAAAUAAAAGGGAAAAGCUGCAUACAUUUAUUACUAUAUACUAUAUAUGUAUAUACAUAUUUAUGCAUGUAGGACAGCGAACGAUGCGAGGCUCCACAAGAAAGCCAGAGAGAAUGGGAGAGGAAGCGGGAGUAAGAGAAUGGAGUCUUAGGAUCCGCCGGCAAUGUGCGUACACAAUCGAUUUGUGUGUGUGUGUGUGUUUUUAUUAUACAAUAAUGAACAACUCAAAUUGGACAUGACAGGCGACAAAGAUUUAGCUGACGAUGACGACGCGCUUAUGAUUCAAUAUAUGUGCAUAUAUGCAUAUCUGUAUAUAGACAUGCACACGCACAGACAUGCACACAUGCAUAGUUGGGUGUGUAUUUUCCGGCGUUUUGGUAGCCUGCGCACACACCCACGCACACACACACACACACACACACAAAACAAAGUGCAGACGUGCAUCAUAGAGAGAAGGGCGCGAUUUAGUUAAGCACGAAGCAAGCUUUUGGCACAAUGAAAACAAGUGCCGCAAAAUUGAAGAAGUGAAGAAAUGGAGCUGGCGGCAUUCAGAGCUCAGAUGCGGAGACAGAACUGUUGCAUGCUUUUGGGCGCGUCUGCGGCAUUAAAGCAGCAGGCAGGCAGGCAUUCAAACAAA
rnacentral:sRNA from 1 species